AGGAUCUCAAUCCCUCUGGAGUCACCGGGAGUAAAAACACUGGUGGAGAUUGAUCCAGAAACCUUCUGCUCACCAUGGUGCUCAUGGUGAGCAGACACAGAUGUUUGGAGCAGACAGCAGCAGUGAGAUCAUCCCGCACACGUUCUCCUGCUCUUGUUCAGGGUUGUGUGGUUCAGGAUCUUCAUCAUGGUCUUCCUCAUCCUCUCUGCACUCAGACAAGGACUCGAUGUCCCUCUCUCAUCAUGAUCAGAUUCAGUCUGACUGCAGCAGACCUGAUGGACGGAUGUGGGUUCACCGUCUGUAAACAUUCAAGAACAGAACAAUGUCUGAAUAAAGCUUUAUUUCAUCGGU